UACGUAGGGGGCCAGCGUUGCUCGGAAUAACUGGGCGUAAAGGGUUCGUAGGCGGUGCGGAAAGUUGGGAGUGAAAUCUCUGGGCUUAACUCAGAGACUGCUUUCAAAACUUCCGUGCUCGAGUGCGAGAGAGGCAAGUGGAAUUGCAGGUGUAGCGGUGAAAUGCGUAGAUAUCUGCAGGAACACCCGUGGCGAAGGCGGCUUGCUGGAUCGCAACUGACGCUGAGGAACGAAAGCUAGGGGAGCGAACAGG
rnacentral:rRNA from 1 species